AGUUAAACCAUAUCUGUAGAACGAACGGAGCAGCCGCCAUAAAAUCACCUAAUGAACUGUCACACAACUAGUGGUGAAGCAGUGCCUCUACUGUAUAUGUCCUUUGGGCCAGGGGUUCCCAACCUCCGGGUUGGGGACGGUAUUAGUCCGUAGAUCAUUUGGUACCGGGCUGCAGGGGGACUGAGUGAAAAAAUGUACUUCAGUUGUACUAAUUUACUUCAUUCAAAAAUGUUCCAGUCAUAUCCUUUAUAAGAAUUAAGUGCAAAUGUAAGAGUUCCCACUGUUUGAUUAUAUUUUAUUUUAUUUUGAAAGGUUGAAAAACCUAAUUCUAUUUAGAGUAACUUGGCAGAGAUAUAAAGAUAAAUCCAGUCUGAUGACGCCCUGACAAUCGGAUGCUUUUCCAAAACAUUUACAGUCUUAGAACUUGUUUACAGUACGAGCUUGGAUCCGGUGUAUGGAAUAAGGCUUUGAAACAACUCUCUUCACGUUUAAUCUGCAUCAACGUUCCCCCACCGACACGACUUGAUUAGAUUUAGUGACCAUAACAUCAUGUCAAAACAACUGCCUCUCUUUUAUUUCUGUCAGGAAUGGUAUCACUUGGAUUUGCUACGGCCGUACAAAGGGAAAAUUGGAAGAACAUGAGCGGGCCUUUGAGCCGCACACGGCAUGCUAACAGGCUCCAUCCCUCCACGCUGCCGUCGUCCUCCACAGUUGGUAGACAUUAGCAGAAGCAGCGAUGGCUGUGGUGAUAACCACAACGACUGACUGCUGCUGAGCCUCAGAUUUAACUGUCACCACAGGACCACCAGGAAACUCAUGGCCUUAGGGAGAACCCCACAGGGGAGAGAUCAUUCAAACUCCAUGCAGAGAGACCAGGGAUCAAAGCAGCGACCUUCUUGCUGUAAGGCAGGUCUGUUUCACCAAAACUAUUUUUCCGCAACACAUCUUAUGACAUGGGUGUCAAAUACCCCUGUAACAUACAGUUUGACUGUUGUCCUAAUACACCUCUACAACAGUCAAAAACAAACAGAUAUUCUUUGAAAAGAGAUGACGAGUGUCAACUUCCACAUCUCCGAAAAAGGAAAAACCCUAUUAGUCCAAAAUUAGCUCAAAGUUGCUCACAGGUAGAUAGCACAAACCAGCAUGAAAUUGCAAUGAAAAUGAUUUCAAUUAUAGCCACGGCUAAACACUGCCAUUACUGUAAUCAAACUGAGUCCAUUUUCAGUAAUUGCAUUGGAACAGUCAAGCAGAGAGGUCAUUUGCUUUUAUGUUGCACCUGCCUUUCAAAUAAAUAAAGUUUUCCCUGAAGUCAUUUUCAGGACAUAAUGACGGGGCGAGCGGACAUUCAA